AUGAUAUUGUGUAUGCACCAAAAUUGACAAAAAACUAUUUAUUAUAAUCAGUCAGGACAUUGUACUAUAAGGGCAUUAUACACUUCCGGUGUAAACAGCUUACUCAGGAACUGAGGAAGCAGAAUGUUCAAGGCAACCAGAAGCUUGAGUCCAUCCUGAACAUAGAGACAACACAGAUAUUAGCAGAGCUGGAUAAUAUUGCUAGAGGAUUAGUUAAUGCAACUCAGCAAGGACUAGUGAUGGAUAUGUUCCAGGUUCCACAGCUAGGAGAAUGUCAGGAAGAAAAGCCUCAUCAUUAAAAGUGUUACAGGUGAAUUAUUUAGGAAUUUAA